rnacentral:sRNA from 1 species
CAGCCGAGUAUUGCCGAGUGUAGCCGAG